rnacentral:lncRNA from 1 species
AGCUCGCUAACCCAAGACACGAUGAUCUGUCGGCAUCUGUUCAUUUCAUUACCACACAUUUCGUACUUACACGAAUUACUUACUUGGCGAAACAGGAGAGUCUUACACGGGAGAUGCUCUAAAACGCGACUUUUUUUUCUCCCAUAUUCCAGAUUUACGAGUUUCUUUUACGUCUUCAUCACCAAUUUCUUUGUCGUGACACACACACACACAGACAGACACACACUACUCUCUCUGAGCUUUGUUUUUACUAUCGGUUUCCGAUUUUAACACAAGAAAAACACCCUGUUCUGUUGUGGCGAUCAGAGUUGAUUUAUGAAAAAGCAGUUCUUUUAAAUUCUUAAAAUUAGUUUUCUUACGUGUUCAACAUAACUGGGUGUAUUUCACAAAGCCUCUCUGGCACUCAAAAUGGCUGACGGGCGCGAGCUCGGACGCCGCUGUAACACGAGCCGCUAACCCAUUCGCUGCCGCGCGCCACUGAGACCAGAGCCCAGGUUAAGAUCAGAUUACUUUUAGCACUCACAAUAGUCCCAUAGUGAAAGACAUGAUUUGUGCUUUUUGUCUACUUUCAUCCCCAGAGAUGUUUUUAAAAAAAUAAUCGUGGACGCUACAGUGACAUUCACCGUUACCAGUAGAGUAGUGAGGACUAACUAGAAGAAUUUAAAAACACACGAAUAUUUGUUAUAUCUUUCUUAUACUCAGCGGUGACUAAAAUGAAUUAAUGAUCGAAAAUGUAGCACACAGGGCAUGCACUUUACAAAUGUGGCCUUCUGGACUUAUACAAAAUAUAUACAGUACGUGUGUGUCUAUACUGUUAUUUUUUGAGGAAGUAGAUAGGAACGUUCAUUCCUGAUCUUCAUCUUACAAAGAAGAGAGGGGGCAGGUGGGUGUGUCGAGCAAAGCUCGUGUCUGGAAGCUGUAACUAUCUUGUUGCAGACAAACCCAAGGUGUACCAGGGUGUGCGAGUGAAGGCGCCCGUUAAAGAGCUACUACAGAAGCAGAGGGCCCGCCAGGCUGCCAUUAAAAACGCAACGAUAUCACAGAGCUUUACGAUUCCAGACGUUUGUUCCACCCUGGCUGUAACGGCCCAUCACUUUGACGUGUGUUCGGCGAGCCCGGUGGCGGACGCCGCUCCGCUGCCACCUCCUUAUAGCGACAUCAUCCCCAUGGAGACGAGUCCGUUUGACAGCCCGCAGCCGAUGAACGUGAUGCUGCCUACAGACAGCUUCACCAGCGUUCUGCCUCCGGAUUCCUCCACUCAGCACUGGUCCCAGGGACAUUAUAUAUCCAAUUCUGACUAUUACUACAAUGCCAUGGUAGGAGUCCCGGCAUUUUUGUCAUUUUGCUGUUCUUAUCCCUUCUCUUUUUUUUCAGUUAGUGACAACACACACAGGUCACAGGGUGUCAGGAAAUCCUGGAUUUUCCAGCAGCUGUUUAGUAAAACACGUAGAUCCAUCUGACUUUAUUCACUUUUUUUCUGACAACCGACGCAGUGAGCGUUUCACGCUCUUUUUGUCUGUCCAUCCAAACUGAGACAAACACUGACCCAAGAAGUAGCUCGUUUUCGGUGUUCGCUAUGCGGAGCCCUCGCUGCGCACACGGAAUACAUAUGAUAAUGAUAUGGCACGGUCGCAUCAGCUGAGCUGGCUGCGAACGCUCAUGGUGUCGUCGUUCCGCGCUCGUGAUCCCGCACCCACUGACGCGUGUGUGUUGUGUUGUGUGUCUGUGCGCUGCAGGCUCCCAGUUCGUCCCCCGACUCCCUGUCGCUGAGCCUCUCGAGCCCAGUCGAUUACAACAGCUACUCGCCCCACGACAGCUACUCUUCCUCCUCCUCCUCGUGCUACAGCUCUCCCACAAGACUAGACUCGGCUUUCGGCUUUGCGCAGGAGAACUACCACUUCCAGCACUGCAACCUGCAACACUGCCACUCCGGCACCCUGUCCAGCUGGACUGGCCCCCAGGACGCCGGCGCCUCGAACCCAGAGUACGCGCCCUACUACCAGUCGGACUGUUUGUACACACCCGUGGAGCAGAACUACUUCAGGAGGGAUGUGAGCAGCGCGGACAUGUGCUACCUUUAAAACUCUUUUCCCUAACUAACAUGAUCAUGAUGAUCGCUUCCCGCCCUGCCUGCAAACGGUUUUGUAUUCGCAGUUAUUUCGUUCGUCGUGUAACCAAUUUUUACCCGUCUCUUACGUUUUGCCGCUGUUUGUUUUGAUUUAUCUUUCUGGGAGCGUCCUGACUCAGACUGUCCCAAGGUUGGGUCCACCGAUGAACAAUCGAAUCACACCCACGCCAGGGUGGAGACGUCGUAGGCGAUAGAAUAACUAUAAGUAUGUCUCUGCGUUUGUGGACACGUUGCUGAACAAUGAAUGACGAAGUUAUACACGUUUGGUAUAAUUCCGUUUUUUUAUAAUAAAGAAUUCUGCCUUUAUUCUACA